rnacentral:rRNA from 1 species
GACGAACGCUGGCGGUGUGCUUAACACAUGCAAGUGGUGCGACGAACCAGAGCUUGCUCUGGGGCAAAGCCGCGAACGGGUGAGUAACACGUGGGUAAUCUACCCCGAUGACCGGGACAACCCCGAGGAAACUCGGGCUAAUACCGGAUGUGGUACGGAGACAUAAGUCUCUUUACUAAAGGUAGCUUCGGCUUCCGCAUUGGGAGGGGCCCGCGGCCCAUUAGCUAGUUGGUGGGGUCAAGGCCUACCAAGGCAACGAUGGGUAGCUGGUCUGAGAGGACGAUCAGCCACACUGGGACUGAGACACGGCCCAGACUCCUACGGAGGCAGCAGUGGGGAAUCUUGCGCAAUGCGCGAAAGCGUGACGCAGCAACACCGCGUGAGGGAAGACGGCCUUAGGGUUGUAAACCUCUUUCAGAUGGGACGAAGGUGAUGCGUGAAUAGCCGAUGUCAUUGACAGUACCGUCAGAAGAAGCUCCGGCUAACUACGUGCCAGCAGCCGCGGUAA